UUCGUUCUGAUAUGAAAGUUCACGUUGUACCCGCUAUUCUUACACGUCAAGUCAUAAAGGUCCACAAGUUUCUGAAUCAAUUCUUAAUACAAUUGUUGACUCAUUCCAGACUGUACGCGCUCAACAUUUUCGCUUAAAAAACGUUCAGAACUAAAAGAGAAAAUUGAAAAAUGAAACUGACCGUUUGUUGCGUCCUCGUCGCUUUCAUGUCGGUCAUGUUGGUCUCGGUGCAAGCCAAUUCCAUCGCAGUCCGAAGCAUCGAGGGCCGUGCGGAAGUGGUUACGGUGGCGACGACAACGACAACUCGUGACUGGGGCCAAGUCUGCGCUGAUUUGUGCAAGACGGGCGACGGAGGAGUAUUGUGUAAUUGCGAAUUAGUUCCGGUCCGACGUCGCUGAAUCAAAGAGAAAAAUCACAUGUUAUCUUGAAACGAAUUACACCAAAUUUUGUAUCCAGCCAAUAAACUCCCUUGUUUAUAAAACAUC